UACGGAGGGUGCGAACGUUAAUCGGAAUCACUGGGCGUAAAGCGCGCGUAGGCGGUCUGUUAAGUGGGAUGUGAAAUCCCCGGGCUUAACCUGGGAAUUGCAUUUCAAACUGGCCGACUAGAGUACGGUAGAGGGAGGUAGGAUUUCCUGUGUAGCGGUGAAAUGCGUAGAUAUAGGAAGGAAUACCAGUGGCGAAGGCGGCCUCCUGGAUCGAUACUGACGCUGAGGCGCGAAAGCUAGGGGAGCAAACGGG
rnacentral:rRNA from 1 species